rnacentral:rRNA from 1 species
UGGGGAAUUUUGGACAAUGGGCGCAAGCCUGAUCCAGCCAUUCCGCGUGAGUGAAGAAGGCCUUCGGGUUGUAAAGCUCUUUCGCAAGGGAAGAAACGAUACCGACGAAUAAUCGGUGUUAAUGACGGUACCUUGAUAAGAAGCACCGGCUAACUACGUGCCAGCAGCCGCGGUAAUACGUAGGGUGCGAGCGUUAAUCGGAAUUACUGGGCGUAAAGCGUGCGCAGGCGGUUUUGUAAGUCAGAUGUGAAAUCCCCGGGCUCAACCUGGGAACUGCGUUUGAAACUACAAGGCUAGAGUAUGGUAGAGGGGGGUAGAAUUCCACGUGUAGCAGUGAAAUGCGUAGAGAUGUGGAGGAAUACCAAUGGCGAAGGCAGCCCCCUGG